AGCCCUUGCAUGCACAAUGAAUGUUUUAUCUGAGAUUCUCGGUCCAAAAUGUAAGAGCUUCAAUUCCAUAUUAACUACAUUUCAGUCCCAAAAUACUAGGGAAGCCAAUAUUUCAUUUUGAAAGUUAAAGGGUGUUGAUAUGUGUUUUGAAGCUUCAUUCAUGAAAUAUAGCCGGUGAAGGAUCACUGUUGGCCGGGUCUCUUGAGUAGAAAACAGUAUUUGUGCAGCCCCUGCAUUCACAAUGAAUGUUUUAUUUGAGAUUCUCGGUCCAAAAUGUAAGAGCUUCAAUUCCAUAGUAACUACCUUUUCAGUCCCAAAAUACCAGGAAAGCCAAUAUUUCAUUUUGAAAGUUAAAGGUUGUUGCUGUGUGUUUUGAAGCUUCAUUUAUGAAAUAUAGUUGGUGAAGGAUCAAAAUUGGCCGGGUCUCUUUGAGUAGAAAACAUUAUUUGUGCAGCCCUUGCAUUCACAAUGAAUGUUUUAUUUGAGAUUCUGGGUCCAAAAUGUAAGAGGUUCAAUUCCAUAUUAACUACCCUUUAGUCCUAGGAAAGGCAAUAUUUCAUUUUGAAAGUGGAAGUUUUUGUCGAUAUUUCAAAACAAACUUAUGUGCCUCGGUGCAUGAGAACGUGAAUCUUGAUUUUUUGUGGCAAAAUGAAACUGCUUGCAACCCUCAAGAUGUACAGCCUCAAAAAGAUGUGGCUUAAAAUCUCAAGCCAAAGUUUGGGUGCGUCGGUUUGAAAGUGAGAGUUUCUUUGAUCACGCACUUUCUUUUGGAGAGUUAGGCGACGUUUCACUUAGUGGUGGCAAUAUGCUCUCCCAAUCUAUUUUUAGCGCGGACAGAAAAAGUUUCGUGCUAGGUUAUGGGAAUCGUCAUUAUACGUGGAAGAGGUUGCCGUUCUUUAUUUUGAAGCCACAUCGAUAAUCUAGUUGCAGCGUUUUUCCUCUGUAGAGGUGCCCCGAUUCGAUAUUUUGAAACCGACACUGUAUUUACUGAUUCUUUUAAAAUAAGUGUGCCCCUCGGUAUUCAAGCAGAAGUUUCUCUGUUUUUUGGGGAAGAGUAAAAUUGCUCUGUUCUCUUGGUUGGUUGGAACAUAGAAAGCAAUAUGUUUGGAUCUUUUGAUUGCAAGUAAAUAUUUUUUCGGCACGUGGUUUUAAAGCUUUUUGGCUUUUGUUAAAGAAUAGUUUUUUUAAAAAAAUAUAUAUACAAAAGAAUAGUUUCCUGUUUUGGAAGUUUCCUGGUUUGGGAAGUAAAGGAGACUCAAUUUAUACUUUAAAACCUAAAAGCUGUUUUUAUGCAUUAUUUAUGGAUAAAUGUGUGACUUGAUGCACAAGAAAAUGAAUUUUGAUUUCUUGGGGCAAUGUAAAUCUGCUUGGGUCCCUCUCGCAGUUCCAAGUUUUAGAAAAACUUGCAUUGACAAAGAUUCGAGGAUAUUGUGACAGCACCACUUCUGACACGGUAACUUGCUUUCAAUAUUUAGUUUACGUAAGGCAUACGAGAUGUGUUUUGAAGGUUUUGAAACCCAUGGUCUGUUGCUGCGAAAAUAUAUCAUUCGGAGUCCCGUAUUCAGAAAGUAAAAGGCCUCGAUUAAUCUUUUCGAAAGCUAGCCUGUCCAUUUAUUUUUUGAAAACGAUUUUUUUUGUUGGUCCCCUGAGCAAAUGUUCCUCAAUUUUUUGGGGCAAUGUGAGAUUUUGCAAAAUGUCCCUUGGAUAAUUCUUUCUCUAGCAAAAUGUCCCUUGAUCUUUUAGUUGGAAGUAACUAUUCUUUGCUAUGUUGGUUUAAUUAAAGUUUCUCUUGAUCUUUUGCUUUCGAAAUAAAUCUGCAGGUGUCCCCACAGGGAAAUUGUAGCAGUUGGAAAAGUAAGUGGAGGUCAAGUAAUUUUUUUAGAAACUGAAGGCGUGUUCUAUCGAUUAUUUUGAAAGAUAAGUGUGCCUUGGUGCAAAAGAAAAUGACUUUGGAUUUGCUGCAGCAAAGCAAAACUUUUUUGAUGCCCUGGGUUUUCGGAACUCUAAAAGUUGUGGUUUGGACUCUUGAUUCAAAGUAAGUGUUUUUGAGAAUACGUUGGUUUAAAGGAAAAGUAACUCUGAUAACAAACACCCUUUCUCUUGGAGAGUUGGCAGCCUUUCUCUACGUAACUGGCAGUGUGCUUUCUCAAUCAUUUUAUUGCUACGGGCGUAAGACAUGAUUGCUCGGUUAAAGGAGAUAUUCAUUUUAUUUGAGAAAGGCCUUCGUUCUUGAUUUGGAAGCCAAUUUGAUGAACUUCAGUAAAAGUGGGCGAAUUCUUUUUCUCGCAAAUGAGAGUGCUUUGGUUUAUUGUUUCAAAAUAAAUGUACUUUGACUCCUAGGCAACGGGUUUUUAAAUUUCCUUGGAAAAAGUAAAAUUCAUCCCGUUGCUCGGCCAGUUGGAGCUCAAAAAAAGCAUGCAUGUAUGCUGAAUUUGUCUUGGUUUUAAUCAUUGUUCUAAUGUAGGUCUUCAAAAAAUUGACCGAGAAAACUAUUUGAGAGAGCUAAACCAUCGAAGUCUAUCGGACCCAAAGUGUAGUAGUCUUACCAAACUUCAGAUCUUGUGGGAUCUUUUCUCUGUUUACUUUUUUUUUUUUUUUUUAAAGCAAUAUCUGUGGUUAAAAGAGAUUGGUAUGUUUAACAUGCAAGGCAACUACGGAGCCUGGCGUAACCGCGUCAAUAUUAUGUUGCUGACUUUUCUUUGCUGUAGGUACGUAGCGGGAAACUUGUUUAAGCGGAAAGAACGGAGUUUGUUCCAGUGGCUAUCUACACGAACAACGUGUGCUACGCGGAAUGUGAGUAUUAUGUUACCCUGGAUUGUCUUGAAAAUAUUUCUCUCGCUGCUACUUUGUUUAAGAAACAUUUGUAGUUAUACAAAAUUAACGUUUAGAACAUGCCAGACGGUUAAAAAGCUACAGAUAACAGGGUAUGCUAAUUUUGCCACCUUUUCCUUGGUGCAGCAAAUUGGAGCGAGGGUGAAGCCUUCCUAAGUGUAGAGCUACAGAUUGAAGGUUUUUGGACCCUACUUUAUUUAAUUUAAUAGUGGAACUUAUCUUUCUUGGAAAAUAGUAAAAGAGGCAAUCGGUCCUGCUUUGUUGUUGUUUACUAGAGACGUGUUAUUGAAAGGAACAAAUGAGGUUUCUUCCCGUUGCUGGUUAUGCAGGCGACGAGUGCGGCUGCGUGGCUUCUGAGUGUGAUUUUACUCCGUGUACAUCAUCAGGAAUGGAGUUUUUACUCUUACCGAGUUUUAUUUUAUAGGGUUGUCGUCCCGUAUUUGUAUCUGCAAUUUGUGUAGUGUUGGAACGGAAGUUUAUGGCUUGAACUUCCAUUUUGGUGGAUUUUCGUCUUGGGAAAUAAGUCAUUUAGCGUGGUCCAAUUCCAGUGGAGUUCAUGGCAACCACGUUGGCUCUUAAUAAGCGGACUGAUCCAGUGAAUAUCCUGCAAAUUUUGUGCAUGACUAGGGAUCUUUUGUUGAUAAAUAGAUCUCGGGGCGGUUGGGCGGCCGUUCAUCAAAACUAAUUUUACCAAACUAGUAGAAUUCUUGUCGUAGUUUAGAUUAUUGGAAUUUUUUUUCCGUUUUUGAUGUUUUAUUUUUGUCUGUUGUCCUUCAUUGCGUGUUAAGCAUUUGUCCUUUAUAUUACUCUACUCGAUUUUAGCUUUUUCAUUUGAUAAUUUUGUUCGCAUGAUCUGAUGCUGGAAUCAGGUUUCAGGUGUUCUGCAUGUCACGUCUGAUUUGUUAAUAUUUUUCAUCUCAUUAGGUAAUUAUCAUAUCGGCAUUGGUAGGUGAUAUUACUCUGCUCAAUUUUAAAUUUUAUUAUUUUGAUAAUUUCGUUCACAUGUGCUGAUGUUACAAUCACGUUUCAGGUUUUCCGCUUGCUAGCCAUUUUGUCAUAAUUUGGUCCCAUGACCUGUUAUAUAAAUUCUGAUUUAUCCUUUCAAAUGGUGCUUUUUCUCACAGCUAAAAUCCUCUCAAAGAUGAGUUCCCGUUUAAUAAUCCAUUGGUCAAGGUCGGUAAGAGAAAUUCAACCGUAGAGAUGUGUGGAGAAGUGUAUCGCAUAGCUCCAGUUACUCUUACUCAACAGCAGCAAGCUUUCCAUCAGAAAAGGAGAUCUAGAGCAUACCAGGGGAAGGGACCAACUGUGUUCCUUAAGGACGCGGAUUCCAUACCUCCUGAUGUAGACCCCAAUACAACCAGAUGGAUUCCAGCCAAUCAUUUUUUUGCAACCACUGCAGCUGACAUUGAUUAGACCUGGCACAAAACAAUAUGUAUCAGGAGCAUGGUGUUCCAUUUCGUAUUCAGGCUGAGCAUGAGGCAGUAGAGAGGAAGCUUGAAGCGGCUUGAAUGGCAUGCAUGGUAACAGAGAGUAACUUUUCACUAUAAAAUGCCCUAUAUAACCAUAUACAUUCUUCACUGAAGUUGCAUCCUACUGAAUAACUUACAGUAAAUCCUGUAGAAGGUCGGAAGCCUAACCCAUAAUGAACUAAUAGUGAAAGCACCAGCGGGCUAGUCAGUUUGGGCAUAAACCUAAAAUUGAGUUUCUCUACUUGCAUUAUCUCUUAUCAAAAUAUUAAUCCUGUAGUUUCAGGUGCUAAAGAUACUUGCAAUUAUGGAAGUAGAAAUCAUACUGGUAAACCUAUGAUGCGCCCUUGACUUUCGAUUCUAAGGCCUUGUUUUACCAGGACGGAUUUGAACCUUUCUUUGUUUUUUUUUUUUGACAAUUUUGGAGGUGGGUUCUGGAUGUUUGCUCAUAUGAAAAUAUGAAAUUGAUUUACCAGAUCAACACCAUAUAACAGAAUUUACGCUAUCCGAACUUUAUUCUGGGUUAUUCUAUUGCUUUUAAGUUAUUAAGGUCUGAAAUAUAUAUAUAUUAAAGUAAUUUCUUUAUGUGUGUCAGCUUUUUUAUUUAGGAGCGAAAGUUUAUUGGAGUUAUAUUUACUCAAAUUUUGUCCCAUUAAUAAUGAUAACUACUUAUGACACGUUACUCAGAAAAAAUUAUUUGUUGUUGUUUUUUGCAUGGAGAAAAAUUCAAUGACCCUUUCUUGUAUGACACCUUUAGCACUCAUUCCUAUUCAACAAUGCUCUAUGCAAAGGUAUUCUUGUAUGACACCUUUAGCACUCAUCGAUACCUGCGGUAAAGUACAAAGAAAAUAAAAGAAAAACGGCCCGCAAACUGUUUCAACCACUCAUUCUUGACAGCUGCAGCUUGUCUAGCGCCAACAACAAAGAACUCUGUAAUGACUUCGAGAGGCAUGCCUUUGGUUUCUGGGACUUUCAGGAACACAAAGAUCCAAGAGAUGAAGCACACAAUCGAAUAUAUGCUGAAGACGCUUGCUAAGCGUUUUGAAUUGAUCAUUACAGGCAGAGCGUAUGUCACAAUAAUGUUGCCGACCCAAAAAACCGUGGCACAGAUAGUAAUGCAAAUGCCACACCCUUGUAGGGAAGAUCACAGUGCAGAGGAUAUUUGGAAUUGGCCCAUAUGCCAUGACGAGGCCGCAGAUGUGUGAUACACAAGCUGAUGGCGUUGCUGCAUUUAUAACUGUGCUCAACUUCACUAGUGGGCCAAUAACUAGAAUGAUUAGUGACACUAUUAGUGCAGGAAUUGUCGCAAGUAGCAGCCGCCUGGCAAUGAAGGAUGUGUGAGUUAAAGAGAAAGUAAAAUAUUAUGAGCAAAUGCAUCUUGGGAGACACUGUAUAUGCUAUAUUUAUCUGUUGCUAUUGGGGAAACCAAGGCUCUUGGUCCACCUGAUGGCCACAAGCCUCUGAGAUUUUUUUAGUGAUUUGAUCAAUUAAGAGCUAUUUUGCUUUUGCAUGCAGAUUUUCAAGUACGGGAAUGCAGGAAACUCCAAGAACAAAAAUAGAUAAGCAUAAAAGAAAAAUAGGGGUUGGAGUUUGCUUCUUUUGCUAGUAAAUCAUGGUACCAAUAGAAAAGGCAGCUGUCAAUGCUAAAAUGUGUAAUCUUGCCACUAUUAUUCAUCACAAAUUCUAUUCGCAUGUCUAGAAAAUUUUUUUGGUCAGAUCGAUGCACAUUUCUAAUAAACAUGUCCUGGAUUUUGUUAUGUUUUCCUUUUUCUUAAGCUUUGUUGCAGCUGUCAUGGCAAUUAUUCGGGACCAUUAACUAGUAAUUCAGGUAACUUCAUUGCAACGGCGUGGCAAUUGAGGUGUUUGGUUCAUAUAUUAAAUUAUAUUUUUUGUUAUUAAAGCUGGUCUAAUAUGACUAAAACACAUCUUGAAAUUUUUUAUUUAAAAUUUAUGAGAAUUUAAAAAUUAUUUUAGAAAAUAUUAUAUAUUAAUUUUCAGUUUUAUUUGUUAAUAAAAAAAAUAACAGUAAUAUAAUUAUAUUAUAUAUAUUUGAUGGCUUUUUUUAAUCCUAUUUAUGACUUUUUCUUUUUUACUAUAAAGGGGAUUGUUUAAAAGAGUGAAGCUCGGAAAAUGCAGCCGACCCCUCAUCUCUUAUCCUUAUUAUAUAACAGAAGCUGAUGACUUCGUCGCCUAAUUCUAGGUACGUAAAUUUUGUCAAUCGAAGCGGAAGCCUGCUAUGCUGUUAAUGCUGCUAUCUAUUCUCUUUUGUAUGGUUGUUGUUUUGUUUUGAUUCCUGUCAUAUGUUUUUUAGAUCAAUACCACUGUAUGUGAUUUUUUUUUUUCUUUUUCUUUGUCGGAGUUCUCAUCAUUUUGUUUUUUUUUUUUGUAUUAUUGAGAUGAAAUUGUUAGUUUGAAUCCUGAUAGCUCAAGAGUGCUGUUUAGUUUUUUGCGCACCGGCAGGCUUGUCACUUCUUCUGUUGAAGUUGGCAUAAUGGCUGAUCUAAUGUGGUAGGCUAUGUGGUUUUACACAAGUUAACAUGCAGCACCUGUAGAAGGUAAUCUCUUCACUGGAAAUGUUGAGAACUUAGUUAAUCCAUUUGUUGAUUUGCAUGACUUUGUUCAAUGAGUUUAGUCAAAGAUGCAAAUGGAAGGUUCUUAAAUGAUUUUUUUUUAUUUAGUUGUUGUGGUACAUUAGGUAAUGACUGUAUAGAUUUAUGUUAGAUACAUUUCUUCGACUAUAGUGAAACAGAGAAAACGAACGACCAUUAUUAGUAACUGCUUGGAAUUCAGUUGCUGAUCUAAUUAAUGUUAGCUAUUUACUGAGAGGAUUUUUUUUGUUUUUGUAAUCAAAGAGAAACUUACUUCAUUUAUUGUGACCCAUUUCUUGCUGUCACAUUCAAUUAUAUUCUUUUAGCAUUUUUGAAAUUUUCGAAUUUGCGUUGGUUUUCUUCUUCUUUUUUCUUGUAUUUGUUAUAGGGGCGGAGGGGGACAGAAGAGGGUUUUAUCUCUGCUAUGCUGGUAAGAUUUUUCUUCAUUCUGUUAUUUUUUUUACUCGAGGCUUCUGAAAAUUAAAACCACAAAAAAAAAUUAAGAAAAGAAAAAAAAAAAAAAAACCGAACAAAGAAAAGGGCAAUUAAAUUGCCAGGAAACAAUUUUUCAGGUACCUGGGGUGUGGAAGGAGGGAGCCCAGGGGAAUAAAUUUGCUGGGAUAUACACACGUCAUGCAGAAAAUCAGCACUUUGUUUGGGUGCAGCAGUGAUGGACCUGGGUGCUCUACGCAAGCCCACCAGCACACUCACCAGUGAGCGCGUACAUAAUGCAUUGUGCCCCCGUGCAUUUGCCCCGUCGCUGUUUCAAGCCAUUAUGCCUCAGAUGACAUCAAAAAAGUAAUUUCAACCUCAUCUGAUAUUUUUGUUAUGUAGGACAAAUAAUGUUGAUUUGUUUAAUCAGGGAUUUAGAAAUAAAAUGAGACAUCGCACCUAGAGUUUUUUAAACAUCAUAUUUAAGACGUUUUAAGAAUCACACUUAAGUGUUCGAUUGUAUUAUUUUCUUUAAAUAUCUUUUUCUAACUAGAGAUAGAUUAGAAAAUAAUAAAUUAAUAAAAUUAAAAAUAUUAAUCUUAAUAAAAAUGAGAAAUUAACACUAAUAAUGUUAGAAAUCCUAAUAAGAAUAAAAAUCUCAAGUUACUAAAAUUAAAAUAAUAUUCUUAAAUAAUAAUUAAUUAUAAUUUUUAAUUUUUUAAAUUACGUUUUUUACUCUUCACGCUUGGUGAAUUUUAAAUUAAAGCAUAUGCCCUUUAUAAUUUUAUUCACAUGCGCUGAUGUUGGAAUCAGGUUUCAGGCGUUCUUCAUGUCAAGUCUGAUUUGUUAAUAUUAUGUAAUCAUUGUAUCCGCGUUGGUGGAAGUUAUAUUACUCUGCCCAGUUUUAGUUUUUAUCAUUUUGAUAAUUUUGUUCACAUGUGCUGAUGUUAAAGUUACGUUUCAGGAUUCCUGUGACCUGUCAUAUGAAUGAUAAAGGGCAUAUGCUUGAAGCAGCACAAAAUGUAAGCAGCUUGAAUGACAUGCAUGGUAACAGAGUAAUUUUUCACUAUAAAAUGUUCCAAAUAACCAUAUAUUCUUCAGUGAAGUUGCAUCCUUACUGAACAACUUACAAUAAAUCCCGCAGAAUGUUGGAAGCCUCACCCAUAACGAACUAAUAACGAAAGCACUAGCAGGCUAGUCAGUUCGGGCAUAAACCUAAAUUUGAGUUCCUCUCCUCGCAUUAUCUCUUAUCAAAAGAUUAAACAUGUAGUUUCAGGUUCCUAAGAUACUUGCAAUUAUGGAAGUAGAAACCAUGUUGGUAAACCUAUGAUGUGUCCUUAACUUUUGAUUCUAAGGACCUGUUUUACCAGGAAGGAACUAAACAUUUCUUCUUUUUUUAUGGGUUCUAGAUGUUUGCUAUUGAUUUACCAUAUCAACACUACAUAGCAUAAUUUAUGAUAUCUGAACUUUAUUCUGCAUUGAUCUAUUGCUUAUGAGGUAUUCGUGUCUGAAAUAUAUAUGUUAAAGCAAUUACAUGUCUAGAAAAUUUCUUUGGUCAGAUUGAUGCACAUUUCCACUAAACAUGUCCUGGAUUUUGUUCUGGUUUCCUUUUUCUCAAGCUUUGUUGCAGCUGCCAUGGCAAUUACGCAAGACCAUUCAACUAGUAAUUCAGGUAACCCCGUUGCAACAGUUGUGGUAAUUGAGGUGUUUGCCUCAUAUAUUAAAUUAUGUUUUCUGCUCUUCACACAUGCUGAGAUAUGAAUUUAAGCUGGUCUAAUAAGGCUAAGCGCAUCUUGAAACUAUUAAGCCUUAUCUUCACUGAAAUCUAGUGGAGACUUUUCAUCAAAACUAAUUUUACCAAACUAAUAGAAUUCUCGUCCUAGUUGACAUUAUUUUGGAUUUUUUUUCCCUUUUUUCUUUCCUGAUUUCUUAUUUUCAUCUGUUGUCCUUCGUUGCAUGUUAAUCAUAUGUUCUUUCCCUUCUGCACCUCCCCUAUUCAGCCUGAUCCAAUCAUCCUGUCACCAUAAAGAUUUAAGAUAAACCAAAUGUGAGCAAAAACAUCUUUACCUUUUCUUUUAUUUUUAAAAAUUUUUCUUCCUAAAAAGUUACAAGGAUUAUUGAACUAAACAGAUUAUUGGUCAAACUUUUACAUAUUUCUUCUUAGUUGGUAGGUUUUUCUUUUUUUUUUUUGAAAAAAAAAUAUUACAUAUAGUUUUUUUACUGAUUGAUGAUCAAUCAAUAUUGCCUCUUUAAUGGUUGAAAUUUGCAGUGGGUUACAUAUUUAUCUUUUUGUUCAUGUUCUUUCCUAAUUCGUUAAUUUCUUUGAAAAUAUAUAAUGACUGCAUAUUUUUAGGAUGUAUUACUCUAUAUUUAUGUGAUUUAUUAAUUCGUAUUUUUAUAAUUUUUUACUAUUUAUUUUUAGGAGUGUUUGUUGAUUGUAUAGUAAUUCGAAAGUAUGUAUUUUAUUACAAAAGAAAAAUAAUAUUAACAGAAAAUAAAUAAGAAUUAAUUAAAAAUGUUAUGCAAAUUUAAAUUUUAAAUCAAUGUAAAAAUAUUUGUUUUAUAGGUUUAUUAUUUUAUUUUAUGUAUAUAAGAUAACAAUAUUAGCUAAAAUAAUAUAUUUUAUUAUAAAAAUAGAAUAAUAUUGUCAGAGAACAAGUAUUAUUAAAUAGGAAAAUAUUAGUUAAUUUAUCGUAUAUAGAAUUAUAAAUAUAUUUUAAUUUAUAUAAUAAAAUUUUUAAGAUAAAUAUUGAUAUUUAAUAAGUAUUGUAAUAUUUAAAACAUUUUUAAAAAAUUUGUAGGUAAAUUAAAAUUAAAUUUUAUUUUCAAAUUUAAAAUGUUUAAAUAGGAAAUUUUUAUAAAAAUUAAAAUAUGGUAUUUAUUUUUAAUAAAAUAUUAAUACAUUAAUAUUAUUUUUAUAUUUAAAAUUUUUAAGAAUUUAAAAAUUAUUUUAUAUGUAUUAAUUUUAAGGUUAGUUAAUAAAAUAAAAUAAUAAGAAUAAUAUAAAUAGUUUAUAUCAUAUAUAUUGUACGAGACAGUUUUUAUUUUUUUUUUACGCUGUUUACAGUUUUUUUUUUAACGCUAAAAAAGACUUUAAAAGAGCUGGUUUACAAAAUCCGACCGAGCUCAUCCUCAAACCCGUUUCUGCAUAUGAUAUUCAGAGGCGGUGGACUAAUGAACCCUAAAACUUCAAAUUGAGAAAGUUGUUCAAUCCCAGGUACAUGAAUUUUGUCAACUGAAGCGGAUGACCGCUAUUCUUUUAACGCUGCUGCUAUAUAUUUUCCUUCGUGUUAUUGCUGUUUUGUUUUGAUUUCUGUCAUAUAUUUUCUUGAUCAAGACCCCACAGUAUUUGAGUAUUUUUUUUUCUUUCCCCUUAUUGGAGUUUUUAUUAUUUUGUUUUUUUGUUUUUUUUUGUAUUACAGAUAUGAAAUUGUUAGUUUAAAUUAUGAUGUUAUAUGAUAUAUUUUAUUAUAAAAAUAUUAUUAUUAUUGAGUGAAAAUAAAUUAAAAUGAAAUAAUUAUUAAAAAUAAAUGCUAUAAAAAUUUUAAAAUUGAAUAUUAAUAAAUAAGAAAAUAUUAGUUUUUAUUAGUUAAUUAUCUUAUUUUAUGUGUAUAAAUAAUUAUUUUUUUUUAACCUUUGAUGGUUAUCAUAUUUUCGUAUUCGUGAUUAACUUUAUCAAAUCUCUUUGCUCUUCUCCCAUUCUUUCUCUUUCUCGACCUUCUUUACUGAUACAUGUUGAGGGUACUUUUGCUGAAAAUUUCAAGUUUUCUAACUUCUCUCCUCCUCCUCUUCCUCUUUUCUCUCCUCUAAGAUUUAUUUUUUCAUCUCCUCUUUUGUUAAUCUUUUCUUAUUAGUUAUUUUAACAGGCAAUUUCCAAUGGAAGUCAAGACUGGGAAGAACAAAAUAUUUUGACGGUAUCUGUUUAUGCCUUAUUCUUCAUCACCAAGUUGUUUUGAAUUUUUAAUGCAACCUUAUUAACUAAUAUUGUAGGUUUUUUUUUUGCAAAUUUAUUAUUGAAAGUAGUUGCUACAAAUGUUUUAAUAGUUGGCAUUGAACCAAUAUUAAUAAAAGAAUCAAGAUACUAACCCUUAGAAUCAGUCAAGAAGCUUCUCAACGAGAACUAUACCUGCUUUGAGCUUAUCUUACUAGUAACUUUUUUAAACUCAAAUGUACGUGAGUACUCGUGCAUAACCAUCUUAACCAAGUCGAUCUUAUAUUCUUUUUGUAUUGUAUGUAUAAAUUUGAAGUUUUCAAUGUUACAAAACAGUAUUCUUCGCAAAUUCUAUACGCUAAAGAUGAUUGUGAAAUGGUAAAAUUAGUUUAUAGGUUAGUGGAUGAUGAAUUCUGUCAAACGGAUUGCUUGAAGGAGUCUCAUACUUUUCUCAUUUUAUUUGUGAUGUGUUAUUAUGUAAUUCUUUUAUUUUAGUUACAGAUAAAUAUUUUCUCAAGAGGUUUACCGUUUUAUGAUGUUGUUUUUGCAAGAGUUUUCUGCAAAAGUUCAAGAAGAAAUUAUGAUGAAAUGUAUUUUUUUUUAAUUGUUUUAGCUUAAAGUUGAUGUUUAAUAUCUACUUAAUACUGUUAAAAAAUUGUAUUUUUGCAUAUAUACUCUUUUCUUAAUAGACGUAGGUGAUGAAUUUGAUAUCUCAAUGGUGACAAAAACCAAGAUGAUCAAAGGGGUUUGAUUAAGAUCUAAUUGAAGGUAUGUGUGUCUUUUAUAUGAAAUUGUUUUUUUCUUUUCAUCUUUCUCUCAAGUUUUUUUCGGUCCUAAUAGGUGCUAUUAGGCUGUAAAUAAUCUCUAUAAAUGUGAAUAUUAUAAAUAGAUAAAUAAUAUUUUUUAAAAUAUUUUGAUAACAACUUUUGAUAUAAUUAGAUAAUAACUAUUUUUUCUCAAGUUAUGAUUAAAAAAUUUAUAUUAAUGUUAAGAUUUCUCAUACAUAAGUUUUUCUUAUAAAACUUUAAAUUCUCUAUGAAUUUUUACUUUAGUUUUGAUAAUAUUUAUUUUUGCACAACUCUAAAUAAAUUACAAGAAUAAAAAUUAUCAAGAAAGAAAAGUUUAUUAAUAAUAGCAAUAGAUAUAGGCGUUAGUAUAUUCAUGAAAAUAGUUUAUAUGUUUCUUGGAUCUAGUCUGAUUUGUUAAAAUUUUUCAUCCUCCUUAUAUAAUCUAUCAUGUCCGCAUUGGUAUAAAUUAUAUUACUCUACCCGAUUUUAGAUUUUUCAUUUGAUAAUUUUGUUCACAUGCGCUGAUGUUGGAAUCAGGUUUCAGGUGUUCUGCAUGCCAAGUCUGAUUUGUUAAUAUUUUCUAUCUCAUUAUUUAAUCAUCAUAUCCGCGUUGGUAGAAGUUAUGUUACUCUGCCCAAUUUUAGUUUGUAUCAUUUUGAUAAUUUUAACUCGGUUUGGCCCAGAUCAUUUUGGUUGUUCAUUCUUCGAUGUUGCUUUAGAUGUACAAACUCUAGUUUUCUGUUUAUUUUACAAGAAACUCAUGGAAAAACAAUUGCCCAUAUUGUGCUAUGUUAUAUUCUUCUCAUGAUGGUGGCAGCCUGCAGAUGUUCUGCAGUGGUCUUUCUGAAGAACAGGGCAUUUAAUUUAUUAAAGUAUCAUUAGUUAUGUCAUAAGGUAGAAAUUGUACUUCUCGCUUGUUUGAUCUGAAAAGGAUGUGAAUCAUACCAUUUUAUGUUUUAGGAAAUGUGCAGAAAUUGAAAAGUUGUAACUUGUGACCACUUGGUUUUCUACUUUGUUUCUCUGCUGUUAUAAAGUUGCAAAUGGUCUUGAAGCACACUUGAGAUACUCAUAGCUACAUCUUCUUAAAGCCCAUAUUUGGUUGUCUAGAUGUUUUUCCCCCAGGUAGUAUUGAAAAGAUGAUGGGCACAAUUCUCUAGCUCUGAUGCUAUUUAUUCAGUUUAGUAUGUGUAUUGUGUUGAUUUGGUUUGCCAAUUUUUUCUCUUUCCUGGACGGCACUGUCAUUAGGUAACUUAUUAUAUUUUUUCUUUGUUCCCUUGACCUUAAUCUACAUGCUUGAUUAAUGGCUGCACCAUUUUGUUCAAGUUAUUGUGAAAAAUAUUAAAAUUAUGCCUUGUUAAUUUAAUUGCAUGUUUCCCAGGAUAUUCCUUCCUUAGCUGCUGAUGCUGCAAAAAAGUAUCCCGGUGUAUCAUACAUCAUAACGGCUCCUCUUGGCUUGCACAAGCUCCUUGUGGUAUGAGAUUUUUCUUAUUUUUCUCUCAUGGUAUUUACAUUAAUCCUGCAAGACUUUUGGAGUCAUCACUGUACUUUCAACUUGUGCUUAGCUUUAUUUUUAGCUCUCCUUACCUGAUUGAUAUGUAGAUUAUUCACGAGUACAUGGGAUAUGACAAUACUAUUCAGUUAAUGCUAUUAAAUCAAAUUUUACCCCAUAUAUAUAUAUAUUAUAUAUAUAGGCACUAAAAUUCAUGCCCAGUUAACAGCAUUCUUAACAAAUGUACAAAAGUUUCCGAUUGACUGCAUUCUUAAUUUAAUUAAAACUAAAAUGAAAACUUUCAUCCUUAUUAUUAUUUAUUUUUACCAGCUUCCAAAAAUAUAUCACUCUUUUGCAGUGUUGUUCGCUGGUUUGAUCAAAUAGUUGUGAUCAAAAUUUUUAGUCUAGUUAUAACUACUUUUAAUUGAGAAUGCAAUCAGUUAGGAACUUAUAAACUUUCUUAUUAGGAGUGCAUAUUCCAAUUUCAAGAACACCAUCAAGUAGUAUUUCUAGGUAAUCAGACCUGUGAUUUUAUGAGAUAGACCUUGUCCUACUCGCACGUUGGACUAUGGCUUAUUUUAUCUUUUAAGAGCUCGAGAGAUCAGAAUGUGUCUGAUACCCAUAUGGCUCAUUAAGCAACAGAAGUUUCUGAUUCUCAAGGGAUAGAAUUUGUGAUGCCCUCUAUUUCCCAUUAGUAGUGUGCUAGGAUAGGCUAAAACGAGAUCAAGAAACAGAAGCAGCCAAUAUUUUUUGAGUAACACGGCAUUGAGCGACGCUACUCUGGCCAUGCUAAUUAGUUUUAUGUUUUGCAUUGAUCAUGUCCAUUUGUAAAUAAUUUCUCCAUUUUCUCACUCUCUACAGUUUUAGGUUGCAAGGUUAGUAAUGUGAUAAUUAGUUUCCUCAUUCUUUAUGGGUUUUGAACUGGUUUUUGAAAGUUUGCGUUUAACAGUUCUGUGUAAUUAGAGCAAUUAUUUGUUUUAAUUAUGUUUAAUGGGAUGAUCAAUAUUGUUGCAAGCAGAUCAGAUUCUCUUAUUGUAUUAUCGUUUCGAUAUUAGUUAAUUUGCUGAGUGACAUUCAUGGGACUUCUGUCGAUAAAACUUGAUCAUUUUUCUCAUCCUGGAAGUAUUAUAAUUUUCGUUCAAUUAGCAUAUAGUUUGCUUGCUGGAGAGGUAUGCAAUAUUUAUCUUUUGUGAGAAAGGUUGUCGUUCUUUAUUUUGAAGCCACAUCAGGAAAGUAGAUUUGAUUUUGUUCGUCGGUAAAAUUGCCUUAAUUUAUUUUCUUGCAAGUGAGAGGAAAUUGAUUUGAAAAAUGAUGCAGAGGAGGAGUUCGUGGUUUGUGGGAAGGCCUGUUGUUGGAGACUGGAACUGUCCUUUUUGCUGAGGUUCUUGGCAGAACCCUAACCGGUGAAACUGUACAGAUGCAUGGUGGAGCAGACAACUUGUCUGUGUGGAUUUGCCAGAGAAGGAAUAGAAAUUGAAAGGAAAUUUGGUGGUGCAAAAAAUCUGUAAGUAUUAUUUCUAAGGAUUAAGAGAAUAAAUAAUUUAAAAUUAGAUAACAGUUUAAAGAAUUUUAAUAGAAUAUAUUUGUACAUAUAAAUUUUUUUUAAUAAUACGCGUAUUAUUUAAUAAAUUUUUUAGAAAAAAGAAUUAUUAAAAAUUGUAUUGUAAUUAAGGGUGUUUGUUUUGUUGUGGUUUUUUAUUAUAAUAUUUGUAUUUAAAAAAAAUAUUUUUGUAGUUGGGUGAGUAAAAUAUAAAAUGUUUUUGAUAAUAGUUAAAUUGAAAAUUUAUUUUUUUAUAAAUUUAAAAUAAAAAAUUACAAAAGUUACAUGAAUUUUUAUUAAGAAUAAAUGUUAUUAUUAUUGUAUAAAUAAUAACAUAUUUUCACAAUUAUUUAUAAAAUUAUUUUUAAUGGAAAACUCAGUAAGGCAGUAAAAAAAAUAUUUAUCUUUUUAAUUUUCUCUCUCUGCCGCUCCUCAUCUUCGGUCUCUGGGUUUCCUUUUUUCUGCCCCUGAGGUUCCGCGUGUUUAUAAAGCACAGAGGUUGCGUCACGGAGACGCACCUCAGCUCCUCUAUAAAAGGGCUGAGACUCUCUUUCCUCCUUACGCAUCUGCUGUCUCCUGAUCCGGUAAGGUUUUCUUCUGAUUGCCCAUUAGAUCUGGUCCCGCUCCGAUCUUCUAGAGAUUGGAGGCGGUCUUCAUUCUCUCUGAACGGAAGAGUGCAUAAAAUAGGGCUCUUCUGCUUCCGAGUCUUCUCUCUUGUGGCGAUUUAGAGGUUGCGUCACGGAGACGCAGCUCAGCUCCUCUAUAAAAGCGCUGAGACUCUCUUCCCUCCUUCCGCCUCUGCCGUCUCCUGAUCCGGUAAGGUUUUGUUUUCGAUUGCCCAUUAGAUCUGGUCCCGCUCCGAUCUUCUAGAGAUUGGAGGCGGUCUUCAUUCUCUCUGAACAGAAGAGUGCAGAAAAUAGGGCUCUUCUACUUCUGAGUCUUCUCUUUCGCGGCGAUUUAGAGGUUGCGUCGCGGAGAGGCAGCUCAGCUCCUCUAUAAAAGCGCUGAGACUCUCUUUCCUCCUUCCGCCUCUUCUGUCUCCUGAUCCGGUAAGGUUUUCUUUCGAUUGCCCAUUAGAUCUGGUCCCGCUCCGAUCUUCUAGAGAUUGGAGGCGGUCUUCGUUCUCUCUGAAGGGAAGAGUGCAGAAAAUGGGGCUCUUCUACUUCCGAGUCUUCUCUCUUGCGGCGAUUUAGAGGUUGCGUCACGGAGACGCAGCUCAGCUCCUCUAUAAAAGCGCUGAGACUCUCUUUCCUCCUUCCGCCUCUGCCGUAUCCUGAUCCGGUAAGGUUUUCUUUUUGAUUGCCCAUCGGAUCUGGUCCCGCUCCGAUCUUCUAGAGAUUGAGGCGGUCUUCAUUCUCUCUGAACGGAAGAGUGCAGAAAAAGGGGCUCUUCUACUUCUGAGUCUUCUCUCUUGUGGCGAUUUAAAGGUUGCGUCACGGAGACGCACCUCAGCUCCUCUAUAAAAGCGCUGAGACUCUCUUUCCUCCUUCCGCCUCUGCCGUCUCCUGAUCCGGCCGAAAAUGCUAAAUUACCCUCAUCCUGCUGUAUAAUUGUCUCAGGAUUGCUCUGUUGGGCUCUUAUAAAGCAAUGGAUCCAAAUGUUGCACGAGCUGUUGAGUAAUUUCCAACUGGUUUUGGUGAUUUGCUUUUAUUAGUUGAGAUAAAAAAAUAAAACGAAUUAUUAAUUAUUAAUUUGGUUUCGGCAUUUAUAAAAAAAAAAAGUUUGUAUUUGAAAAAUAUUUUUGUAGUUAGACGAGCAAAGAAGAAAAAUGUUUUUGAUAAUAGUUAAAUUCAAAAUUUAAAAUAAAAAAUCACACUCAAUACAUCUUGGUGCUGGAUUCAAAUAUUUUCUUUCGAAAAAAGAAACUUACGUACGUGUAUUAAUAUCGGUGCCUGUGCGCAUUUACAAAAUUUUUACGAGUCUGCUAGAUUCAAAUAAUGUAUCGUUCUUGUUUCUCUCACGCUUUUUGGUUGUAUUUGAGCAAUAAUUUGUCAGAGGCAGCAAGCCAGAUCUGGAAAUAUGGCAAGUUUUUAGAAAUUGGUGCUGCGCGUUUAAUCAUCUUUAACCAACAAGAUCUUAUGCUGGUUUUCAGGUAAUUCUCUUUUGUUUCGCUCCCUUUCAAUCUUCUUUAAGAUCUCAGAAUGGAAGUCCCCAGCUUCCUAUCUCUUAGUCUCCUCUUAAACCUGAAGGUCAUUAUUUUUGGCCCGUCCAACAGUUAUGUUGCAGUCAAGAGAAAGGUUUCCAGGAUAUGCUUGAGAUGCUUGCCUCGUACAAGGAGGGGGUGUGUACCAUGUGGGAACCGUGUUCCCAUAAUCUUGAUUCUGUCCGGUUCCAUCCAAAGUGCAUAAAGAAACCUAGUUCCCACGCUGGAAACUGAUAACAGUGCUCGGUAUUUUAUGUUUAUUACCAGUUAUUGUUAAUUUAUUGCGCGACUUUCAUGGGAGUUGUAUCAAUAUGUCUUGAUCCCUUUUCUUGUUCUUUGAUUUACCGGGACCAUAUUCUGAAAAUAUUGUAAUCGUCGCUCGGUAAGGGUAUGGAUUGCUGGUUCAAGAGGUUUGCAAUAUCUAUUUACACUCGUAUCACUUGGUGCUGGAUUCAUAUGUUUUUCUUCUGUAUUAAAAAGUUACGUAUGUGUAUUAAUAUUGGUACCGAGGGGGCACUGCGCACUUACAAAAUUUUUACAAGUCCGCUGGAUUAAAAUAAUGUGACGUGCUUUGUUCCUCUCGGCGCUUUUUGCUUGUAUUUGAGCAAUCAUUUGUUAGAGGCAGCCAGGCCAGAUCUGAAAAUAUGGCAAGUUUUUAGAAAUUGAUGCUGCGCCUUUUAGUUGCCAACACGUUCUUAUGUUGGUUUUCAGGUAAUUCUCUUUUGUUUCACUCCCUUUUAUUCGUCUUUAAGAUCUCGGAAUGGAAGUCCUCAGCUUCCUUGUCCCCCGCAUCUUUGAGUCUCAUCUUAAAGCUGAAGGUCAUUAUUUUUGGCCUGUCCAGCAGUUUUGUUGUGGUUGAGAGAAAGGUUUAAAGGAUGCAUGAGAUGCUUGCCUCGUACAAGGGUGUCUAUUAUGUGGGAACCGUGUUCCCAAAAUCUUGAUUCCGUCUGGUCCAUAGUCCCUGCAAAGUCAUUCCAUCCAAAGUGCAUAAAGAAACAUAGUUCCCACGUUGGAAACUAAUAGUGUUGUUCCUUUCGACUUUUGUUACCAGUUUAUUUUUUGUUUGAUGUUCGCGGGAGUUGUAUCAGUAUGUCUUGAUCCCUUUUCUUGUUUUUUGAUUUACAGGGACCAUAUUCUGACAAUAUUAUAACGCUCGCUCGGUAAGGGUGUGGAUUGCUGGUUCGAGAGGUACGCGACAUCUCUAUUUACACUCGUAUCACUUGGUGCUGGAUUCAAAUAUUUCUCUUUGGAAGUAAAAGUUACGUAUUUUUUUAAUGUUGGUACCAAAGGGGUACUGCUGCGCAUUACAAAAAUUUCUACAAGUCUGCUAGAUUCAAAUAAUAUUUCUCUCACGCUUUUUGGUUGUAUUUGAGCAAUAAUUUGUCAGAGGCGGCAGGCCAGAUCGGGAAAUAUGGCAACUUUUUAGAAAUUGAUGCUGCGCGUUUACUUUACCAACAAGUUCUUAUGUUGGUUUUCAGGUAAUUCUCUUCCGCCCCGCUCCCUUUUAAUCAUCUUUAAUAUCUCAGCAUGGAAGUCCUCAGCUUCCUUGCCCCCCGGGCCCCACUUCUUUUAGUCUGCUCUUAAAGCUGGAGGUCAUUUUUUUUUGACGUUUGUUGUAGUCAAGAGAAAGGUUUCUAGGAUGCAUGAGAUGCUUGCCUCGUACUAGGGUGUCUUUUAUGUGGGAACCAUGUUCCCGUAAUCUUGGUUCUGUCUAUGGUUCGUAGUCCCAUAUGAACGAGGAUGCUGUGUUCUCGGGAUUUUUAUCUGAUGCGAGAAAGGUCGUCAUUCUUUAUUUCGAAGCCACAUUAGAUUGAUUUUGUGUCCCGGUAAAAGUGCCCUACUUUAUUUUAUUGAAAGUGAGAGUAAAUUGAUUUAUUGUUUCAAAAUAAAUUUGCGUCCGUGUUUAAUGGAAAAUUUUACGAUUUCUUCGGAGAAAGUAGAAUUCCCCAUGUCCUUCGGGUAGUUGGAACUUAAAAAGAAUGUGCUUGGAUCUUCUAACAGCAAGUAAAUAUUUUUGGGCAUUGUUUUAAGGUUCUUGCUUCCUUUGGUAGAAAAUAAUUUUUUAUGGUGUUCCGGUCCUGAAUUAUUGCUCAGAAACUGAAAGCAUGUUUUGUAAAUCUUUUAAAAAAUAAAUGAGCUUGAUGAACAAGAAAAUUUCCCAUUCUUGAGAAAACAAAAAAUGUUCCCUGGUCCCCCGGGUAGCACCAACUGUGAGAAAAUGUGUCUUGAGCAUUUUGAUUCCUAGUAAAUAUGUUUAUGUGUGUCGCUUCGGCAGUGAAAGCUAUCGUGAUGGGCACCCUUUCUCUCUUAGACGUUGCAAUUGGAUUUUCUAGUAUUUGAUAACCAUUUACAAAAGAUAUGUAUGCUCGGUUUUUGGAACUUUCAGAUGUAGUUUAUUGGAGAAAUGUUGUUGGUAUGUGUUUUGAAGCUUCAUUCAUGAAAUAUAGUUGGUGAAGGAUCAUUGUGGGCCGGGUCUCUUGAGUAGAAAACAUUAUUUCUGCAGCCCUUGCAUGCACGAUGAAUGUUUUAUCUGAGAUUCUCGGUCCAAAAUGUAAGAGCUUCAAUUCCAUAUUAACUACAUUUCAGUCCCAAAAUACUAGGGAAGCCAAUAUUUCAUUUUGAAAGUUAAAGGGUGUUGAUGUGUGUUUUGAAGCUUCAUACAUGAAAUAUAGCCGGUGAAGGAUCACUGUUGGCCGGGUCUCUUGAGUAGAAAACAGUAUUUGUGCAGCCCCUGCAUUCACAAUGAAUGUUUUAUUUGAGAUUCUCGGUCCAAAAUGUAAGAGCUUCAAUUCCAUAGUAACUACCUUUUCAGUCCCAAAAUACCAGGAAAGCCAAUAUUUCAUUUUGAAAGUUAAAGGUUGCUGAUGUGUGUUUUGAAGCUUCAUUUAUGAAAUAUAGUUGGUGAAGGAUCAUUAUUGGCCGGGUCUCUUGAGUAGAAAACAUUAUUUCUGCAGCCCGUGCAUUCGAAAUGAAUGCUCUAUUUGAGAUUCUCGGUCCAAAAUGUAAGAGCUUCAAUUCCAUAUUAACUUACUUUCAGGCCACAAAAAUCUAGGACAGGCAAUAUUUCAUUUUGAACGUUAAAGGUUGUUGCUGUGUGUUUUGAAGCUUCAUUUAUGAAAUAUAGUUGGUGAAGGAUCAAAAUUGGCCGGGUCUCUUUGAGUAGAAAACAUUAUUUGUGCAGCCCUUGCAUUCACAAUGAAUGUUUUAUUUGAGAUUCUGGGUCCAAAAUGUAAGAGGUUCAAUUCCAUAUUAACUACCCUUUAGUCCUAGGAAAGGCAAUAUUUCAUUUUGAAAGUGGAAGUUUUUGUCGAUAUUUCAAAACAAACUUAUGUGCCUCGGUGCAUGAGAACGUGAAUCUUGAUUUUUUGUGGCAAAAUGAAACUGCUUGCAACCCUCAAGAUGUACAGCCUCAAAAAGAUGUGGCUUAAAAUCUCAAGCCAAAGUUUGGGUGCGUCGGUUUGAAAGUGAGAGUUUCUUUGAUCACGCACUUUCUUUUGGAGAGUUAGGCGACGUUUCACUUAGUGGUGGCAAUAUGCUCUCCCAAUCUAUUUUUAGCGCGGACAGAAAAAGUUUCGUGCUAGGUUAUGGGAAUCGUCAUUAUACGUGGAAGAGGUUGCCGUUCUUUAUUUUGAAGCCACAUCGAUAAUCUAGUUGCAGCGUUUUUCCUCUGUAGAGGUGCCCCGAUUCGAUAUUUUGAAACCGACACUGUAUUUACUGAUUCUUUUAAAAUAAGUGUGCCCCUCGGUAUUCAAGCAGAAGUUUCUCUGUUUUUUGGGGAAGAGUAAAAUUGCUCUGUUCUCUUGGUUGGUUGGAACAUAGAAAGCAAUAUGUUUGGAUCUUUUGAUUGCAAGUAAAUAUUUUUUCGGCACGUGGUUUUAAAGCUUUUUGGCUUUUGUUAAAGAAUAGUUUUUUUAAAAAAAUAUAUAUACAAAAGAAUAGUUUCCUGUUUUGGAAGUUUCCUGGUUUGGGAAGUAAAUGAGACUCAAUUUAUACUUUAAAACCUAAAAGCUGUUUUUAUGCAUUAUUUAUGGAUAAAUGUGUGACUUGAUGCACAAGAAAAUGAAUUUUGAUUUCUUGGGGCAAUGUAAAUCUGCUUGGGUCUCUCUCGCAGUUCCAAGUUUUAGAAAAACUUGCAUUGACAAAGAUUUGAGGAUAUUGUGACAGCACCACUUCUGACACGGUAACUUGCUUUCAAUAUUUAGUUUACGUAAGGCAUACGAGAUGUGUUUUGAAGGUUUUGAAACCCAUGGUCUGUUGCUGCGAAAAUAUAUCAUUCGGAGUCCCGUAUUCAGAAAGUAAAAGGCCUCGAUUAAUCUUUUCGAAAGCUAGCCUGUCCAUUUAUUUUUUGAAAACGAUUUUUUUUGUUGGUCCCCUGAGCAAAUGUUCCUCAAUUUUUUGGGGCAAUGUGAGAUUUUGCAAAAUGUCCCUUGGAUAAUUCUUUCUCUAGCAAAAUGUCCCUUGAUCUUUUAGUUGGAAGUAACUAUUCUUUGCUAUGUUGGUUUAAUUAAAGUUUCUCUUGAUCUUUUGCUUUCGAAAUAAAUCUGCAGGUGU
rnacentral:lncRNA from 1 species